GGAAGCCGCCGGGGCCGCCUAGAGAAGAGGCUGUGCUUCGGCGCUCCGGCUCCUCAGAGAGCCUCGGCUAGGUGUGGAAACAGGAAGAGAACUAGAACUGGAAGUAAAGCAUUGAAGAUGUGACUGAAUUGCUGCAAUCUCAUGAUCAAAUUUGAAUGGAUGAGGAGUUGCUUUUUAGGGAUGAGCAAAGAAAGUUGCUCCUUGAGGGCAGGACAGUUCUUAUGGCUUUAUCCGUUGCGUAAGCACAGAGAGGUCUGCGAGGUCAAAACUAUUGUCAUGAUAGCAAGAUGCCUGUCUUUUUCAUUUAUUCUCACGGUGUGCAGAGGCUACAUGAUGUGUGAUGACAUCCUCAUUGAUGUUAAUGAAUGGUGCUAUACUUGAAUUUUCUAAGGUGUCAUUAGGUAGGUUUAGGUAUGCAUACUUGUUUUUAGAAAUUAUUUUUUUCCUUUUUCCCAUUUUUAGAAAUCAACUCAUUUUUUAGGUUAUGCCUUCAGUAAUCUUUGCAACCUCAAUAUUGUGUAAUGGUUACUUUAAAAUACUGUAGUUUUCUUUGUGCCUAAGUAUAAACAUAAGUACAUUUUGUUGUUUUGUUUGCAAUAGUGGUUUAAAUAUUUUCCCAAAAUAUCCAAAUUUAAAAAUUCUACAACUUUAGAAUUUAAUAAAUUUAUUCUAAAAUAUUUAUAUAUUUUUUCAUUUAAGAAUGGAUCGGCUUAAAAAGACUGCUUCUCAUUUACUUACUGGCUAUACCAUCUGUAUACUAAUAAAAAACAAGAUUUGAUUUGGAAGGACUGACUCAAACUAACGAAAAUAUGAAACCUGUCUUUCUGCUUUGGAGAUAUUUACCUAAUCAUGUUCUGCAGUAGAAUAAUUUAGUUCUUUUGUCUUUUUUUGGAGAUGAGGUCUUGCUGUGUUGCCCAGGCUAUUCACAGCUGCCAUCAUAGUGAACUACAGCCUGAAACUCCUGGGUUCAAGAGAUCCUUCUGCCUCAGCCUCCUGAGUAGCUGGAACUAUAGGCAUGCGCCACCAAGCCUGGGCUUUUAAAAAAAUUUUAAAAAGAAUUUUGAGACAGGAUCUUGCCAUGUUGCUCAGGCUAGUCUUCAACUCCUAGCCCUGAGUGAUCUUGCUUUGGGCCUCUCAAAAUGUUGAGUUAAUAGGCGUGAGCCACCAUACCCAGCCAAAAAUUUUUUUAGAGAUGGGAAUGGAAUGAUCUUGAAUAGUGUUGGUGCCACCUAUGUUGUGGCAUCAUUUUGAAACCAAUCAUUCAGAGUGCUUUUUUUGGUAAGGCAUUAUUUUUUAAUGCAGGUAUGCCACUACUGGGAAAAAAAAAAAAACAGGUUUUAAAGCUAGAAAUGAAAAGCUACUUAAGUAUCUUAAAGGAUAAGUUACUUUAUUAUACACUAGAAACAUACACAAUAGCUGAAAAACUUAAAAAAUCUCACACUGCUGAAUGUCUCUGCUGGCUGAAGUGUAAGUAAAAGAUCAUAGUAGUGCCGCUGUUGAGUGAUAAAGCAACUUGUCAUUAAAGAUGUGUGUGCAGACAUGGAUUCUGAGUUAAUAUCUCAUCUGUAGAAGUAUAUAUUUGUCCCUUGCUUUGGGAUUGGUUUCUGGACAGCACUCCCCCACCCUUGCUGGCCAUUUGCCAAGGACACCAAAACCCAAGGAUGUUGAAUUCCCUUUUAUAAAAUGGCGCUGUAUCUGCAUACAACUUACACACAUCCUCCCAUAUACUUUAAAUCAUUUCCAGAUUUCUUAUACUUCAUACAAUGUGAAUGCUAUAUAAAUAGUUGUUACAUUGUGUACUUAUAUUUGUACUAUUGUAUUAAAUAUUCUCAAAUAUUUUCA
rnacentral:lncRNA from 1 species